UACGUAGGUGACAAGCGUUGUCCGGAUUUACUGGGCGUAAAGAGCGCGCAGGCGGUCGAUCAAGUCGAGUGUGAAAGCCCCCGGCUCAACUGGGGAGGGUCAUUCGAUACUGAUCGACUCGAAGGCAGGAGAGGGUAGUGGAAUUCCCGGUGUAGCGGUGAAAUGCGCAGAUAUCGGGAGGAACACCAGUAGCGAAGGCGGCACUCUGGGCCGGAACUGACGCUGAGGAGCGAAAGCGUGGGGAGCAAACAGG
rnacentral:rRNA from 1 species